rnacentral:pre_miRNA from 1 species
AAAAAGGGUAAACUCUAGAUUUUCGUGUCCAACUUUGACUGUCCGUCUUAUAUGAUUUUUUUUAUAAUUUGUAUUUUUAUUGCUGUUAGAUAAUAAAACAUGAUUAAUAUUUUAUGCGUGACUUGUCUUUUUAAUUUUUUAUAAUUUUUUUAAAUAAGACGGACGGUCAAAUGUUGGACACGGAAAUC